rnacentral:rRNA from 1 species
GACAGAGGGUGCAAACGUUGUUCGGAUUUACUGGGCGUAAAGCGCGCGUAGGCGGCUUUGCAAGUCGGGUGUGAAAUCCCCAGGCUUAACCUGGGAACUGCAUUCGAGACUGCAUUGCUAGAGUAUGGGAGAGGGAAGUGGAAUUUCAGGUGUAGCGGUGAAAUGCGUAGAUAUCUGAAGGAACAUCAGUGGCGAAAGCGACUUCCUGGACCAAUACUGACGCUCAUGUGCGAAAGCGUGGGGAGCAAACAGG